AUAUGUACAUGCCUACAACAUUAAUGCAACGGAUCCCAUUAUAACUCCACAAUUAAGUGCACUUGGGAUAGAUUACUACUAGGAUGGGUGACCUCUUGGGAAGUCCUAGUUUUUACAUACC
rnacentral:rRNA from 1 species